rnacentral:lncRNA from 1 species
GUCAAUCGCACGUUUGACUCCGAACUACUAGUCUAUAACGAAGGCCCAAUUUAUUGCAUGCCAUUUGACAUUUGCUUUUAAUAUUGUUCAUCUUCAUCGGUCCAAAAAUAAGCGACGUUUUUCGUAUUAGUUUAUAUUAUCAAUUUCAAGUAGAAAACAACGGAACAACAGAAACAUUGAAGUGCAACAAAAACAAACGCCAACAUACAUGGAAACCUAAAUGUAAAUACACUUAGAUUUUUUUAUAUAUAUAUCAGAUUUGCGUGUCGUUUCCAAAAGACUCAUCAGUGACGACUGACCAGAAAUAGAUUAAAAUGGAUACAUUCAGUUCAAAGUUGGAAAGCAAUGAUCCAAAAUUUCCAAAAGGUUUCGCCCC